rnacentral:lncRNA from 1 species
GCGGCGGCGGCGGCGGUGGCAGCGGCGCUUGUGGUGGUGGCUGCGGUAGCUGAGUGAACUGAGGCAUUGGCAGGCUCAUCUUUGGCGAUCUUGGCCCUGGCUUCGGCUCAUGGCACCGAGAAGCAUCCAUCGUAAGAUCAUUAACUGAAGACCAAAUAAAUAGCUAUGCAAAAUUCCCACAUGGAUGAGUACAGGAACUCUGAUAAUGGCAGCACAGGCAACAGUUCAGAGGUAGUGAUAGAGCAUCCAGAUUUUAGUACUGAGAUUAUGAACGUUACGGAGAUGGAGCAGUCGCCUGAUGCCUCUCCCAGCGUACGUGUAUCUACAGAAGAAAACGAAAUGGCAAAUGCUGUGGACCUUCCAGUGACAGAAACAGAAGGAAACUUCCCUCCAGAGUUUGAAAAAUUUUGGAAAACAGUAGAAACGAAUCCUCAGGAUUUUACAGGAUGGGUAUAUUUGCUUCAGUAUGUAGAACAGGAGAAUCACUUGAUGGCUGCCAGAAAAGCAUUUGACAAAUUUUUCAUACAUUACCCGUAUUGCUAUGGUUACUGGAAAAAGUAUGCAGACCUUGAAAAGCGACAUGACAACAUUAAACAAUCAGAUGAGGUGCGUUAAACUUCUACAGUUUGUCAAGCUUUGCAGUGCAAGCCUCUGUAUUACACUGCAGCUUAACAAACGCUGUCAUUGAUGCUCUAAUGGGUCUGUGCCCUAUGGUCUGUAACCCAAAGCCUGCCCACACAACCCGGUCAGAAUGCAGGGACUGCUGCGCUUUGAAGAUCAAGACUCUGCACGUGGGGAUCAGAACAUUGCCAUGUUCUAUCCAACCUCCACCCAAAUGGUUUAUCGACGGGGGCUUCAGGCAAUACCUCUUAGUGUUGAUCUUUGGAUACAUUAUAUAAACUUCUUAAAAGAAACAUUGGACCCUGGUGAUCCUGAGACAAACAGUACAAUAAGAGGAACUUUUGAGCAUGCUGUUCUAGCUGCAGGAACGGAUUUUCGAUCUGACAAAUUAUGGGAAAUGUAUAUAAACUGGGAGAAUGAACAGGGAAAUCUGAGAGAAGUUACAGCUGUAUACGAUCGUAUUCUUGGUAUUCCAACCCAGCUGUACAGUCAUCAUUUUCAGAGAUUUAAAGAACAUGUGCAAAAUAACUUGCCUAGAGAUCUUUUAACUGGUGAACAGUUUAUUCAGUUGAGAAGGGAAUUAGCUUCUGUAAAUGGACACAAUGGUGAUGACGGACCUCCUGGUGAUGACCUUCCAUCAGGAAUUGAAGACAUAACUGAUCCAGCAAAGCUAAUUACUGAAAUAGAAAACAUGAGACAUAGAAUCAUUGAAAUUCAUCAAGAAAUGUUUAAUUAUAAUGAGCAUGAAGUUAGUAAGAGGUGGACAUUUGAAGAAGGUAUUAAAAGACCUUAUUUUCAUGUGAAACCACUGGAAAAGGCUCAGCUAAAAAACUGGAAAGAAUACUUAGAAUUUGAAAUUGAAAAUGGGACUCAUGAAAGAGUCGUGGUUCUCUUUGAAAGAUGUGUCAUAUCUUGUGCCCUCUAUGAGGAGUUUUGGAUUAAGGAGAUGGUCUGCUUGCAACCAGAUUUGACUGCUGCAUAUGCCAACCUCGUUGCCUCUCUUCGUCCUUCCUUACAGAAACUAGUCUAGUGGUUCAAUAAAGUAUGCCAAGUACAUGGAAAACCACAGCAUUGAAGGAGUGAGGCAUGUCUUCAGCAGAGCCUGUACUGUUCAUCUCCCAAAGAAGCCCAUGGCGCACAUGCUGUGGGCAGCUUUUGAGGAACAACAGGGGAAUAUUAAUGAAGCCAGGAUUAUCUUGAGAACGUUUGAAGAAUGUGUUCUAGGAUUGGCAAUGGUUCGAUUGCGAAGAGUUAGUUUAGAACGACGGCAUGGAAAUAUGGAAGAAGCUGAACAUUUGCUUCAAGACGCUAUAAGGAAUGCCAAAUCAAAUAAUGAGUCAUCAUUUUAUGCUAUCAAACUAGCCCGACAUCUUUUCAAAAUACAGAAAAACCUUCCAAAAUCAAGAAAGGUACUUUUGGAAGCAAUCGAAAAAGAUAAGGAAAACACAAAGUUAUACCUCAAUUUACUUGAAAUGGAAUACAGUUGUGACCUCAAGCAAAAUGAAGAAAAUAUCCUCAAUUGCUUUGACAAAGCCAUACAUGGUUCGUUGCCUAUUAAAAUGAGAAUUACGUUUUCUCAAAGAAAAGUGGAAUUCCUUGAAGAUUUUGGCUCAGAUGUUAAUAAGCUUCUGAAUGCAUAUGAUGAACAUCAAACACUUCUAAAAGAACAGGACACUUUAAAAAGGAAAGCUGAAAAUGGCUCAGAAGAACCAGAAGAAAAGAAAGCACACACAGAAGAUGUAUCAUCAGCACAGAUCAUUGAUGGGGAUUUACAGGCAAAUCAAGCUGCAUAUAAUUACAGUGCCUGGUAUCAGUACAAUUAUCAGAAUCCCUGGAAUUACGGACAGUAUUACCCUCCACCUCCAACCUGAAGGGAACACGUAAAUUUCAGAUGGCUUAUAUAAGACAAUGUGGAACUAUUUUUUUUGAAGGAUGUAAAACAUAGUAUAAGCUUGUUGUAUUUGAUAAUUUGUCUUCCCAGUUUCUGUGUAACAUUUAUUUUAUUUAGUUAAUAGCAGGAAAUGUCAAUUAAUAGUGUAUCAUAGAAAUUUUCCUACCAUUUUUAAAAUUUACUUUUUAUUGAAGAACUAUUUUUUUUAUUUUUAUUUUUUAUUUUAUCGUAUCUUUUUGCAUUAAAUGGUCUAGAAUUCUUUUGCAGCUCAUGCAGGAGAUUUGUAGCCUUAACUGUAGGGGGAAAACUGACUGUAAAUCAUGUCAGUUAAAAAAGAUUUUUUUGGGGAAAAAAAAGGGCUGGUUAGUGAGAAUCUUGCCUCCUAUAAAAACAGACUUUUAAAAAAUUGACUUUUAACCUUAAACCCCAAAGUUAUGUAUAUGUUUUGAUUAUACUGGGGAAUUUGGUUCUAACUGCAGGAUAGAUGAACUGUUGACAUGCACUGCCUUUGACUAGAUAAUAAUGGAGAAAGUGUAAUGUCAGCUUCCCCUUAAGAAAUGAAAUAUCAAAGUAUGUUUUAGAGUUUGUAUCUAGAAUAUUCAUGUAAAACGCAAGCUUUCAUUUUGAUCAAAUUUACCAUUUUUGUAAUAAAAAUUAAGACUCACGCAGCAAUUGUUCAUGAAUUCAUUUGGGGGAGGUACACAAAAUAGAGAUUAACAUUUUCUUGAAGUAAACUAAAUUUAUUAUCUUCUUACAAGAAUGCUUUAGUUGUUUGGUUUUGUUUCAAGUCCUGUGCCUUUUAACUUUCACCAUAAAGUAUUAUUUUUUACAUGUCCUUGACAAAGGCUUGAUAAGCAGUUCAACUCUUUGGGCAAAGUCACUAGCUCUUAUCCGAAUUAGAAUACAGAACACAGAAUAAGUCAAGACAAUCCAUGACAUUUUUAUUGAGCCUUUAGUUUAUGAGGUAAAAGGAAAAGCAGCUCUCUUGAAUACUUUACAUAGCUGUAGGAAAAUAUUUGAGACUUAAAGGGAGUUACAGGGGAUUAUGUUUCUCAAAAGUUGAGAUCAAGUAAACAAGCUUUAAAUUGUUUAAAUUUUCCAGUUGAUCUUUCCUUACAAUAGUAACAAGCUCUAAUUAGCCACAUUAGGUUUUUAUGUUUGCUGAUGUACUGGUGGUUUCAGUCAAUAUCUACUAAUUCUACUUCAAAAAUGAGCUUGGUAUUUGGUGGAAUUCUGUGGGAAAUGGUCAAGGAAAACUUGAAAAGUGCCUCUCCCCUAACCACUAAACCAUAGCACAUUAGGGUUGUGAAGUCAGAAGUAAAAGUUCUAGGGAAAGCCAGAGCUUGUACUAGUAACAAUCAAUCUCUUGACUGUCCUCCUGAGAGGACAGGUUUGUAUUUGACUCAGGCUAGCUUGAGUUUCCUAAAAGUAAACUUGAUGAUCAAUACCUCACUAAUGCUACCAACACUGUAUUUAAAAGAUGUAUUCAUCUACCGUGAAUUAAAAGACAAGUUUAGGUGUGCUUGGUGGUGCACAGCUUUAAAGCCCAGCACUUAGGUUCAGAGAUGUCUGCCUCUGCCUUCUAAGGAGAGUCUGCUCUCUACAAUGCUACCAUCUCUAAGAAACAGAAAGUGAGAAGGCUUUCUUUAUGCAGUCUUAUGAUUUCACACGACAUGAAUUUAACAUUUUGAAGACGACAGAGAGAACUUCCAACCUCAAACCUCAUUCCUUAUCAUCUACAAUUAUAAUAGCAAAACUAAUUUGGCCAACAAGAAUGAAAUCAACAGCUAAAACUUAACUUCCCACUUAACUAUCAGGUCAAUUUAGUCUAAAUGGUCUAGAAUCAUUGACUUUCUGCUUUUGUAAUUGUUGACAAAUUGGGGCCUAUCAUAGAAAUGCUGUAAUCAUUAAUAAAUACUUAUAAAAUGCUUAUUUUUACU